rnacentral:rRNA from 1 species
UUGAACGCUGGCGGCAGGCCUAACACAUGCAAGUCGAACGGUAACAGGAAGCAGCUUGCUGCUUCGCUGACGAGUGGCGGACGGGUGAGUAAUGUCUGGGAAACUGCCUGAUGGAGGGGGAUAACUACUGGAAACGGUAGCUAAUACCGCAUAAUGUCGCAAGACCAAAGAGGGGGACCUUCGGGCCUCUUGCCAUCGGAUGUGCCCAGAUGGGAUUAGCUAGUAGGUGGGGUAACGGCUCACCUAGGCGACGAUCCCUAGCUGGUCUGAGAGGAUGACCAGCCACACUGGAACUGAGACACGGUCCAGACUCCUACGGGAGGCAGCAGUGGGGAAUAUUGCACAAUGGGCGCAAGCCUGAUGCAGCCAUGCCGCGUGUAUGAAGAAGGCCUUCGGGUUGUAAAGUACUUUCAGCGGGGAGGAAGGCGAUAAGGUUAAUAACCUUGUCGAUUGACGUUACCCGCAGAAGAAGCACCGGCUAACUCCGUGCCAGCAGCCGCGGUAAUACGGAGGGUGCAAGCGUUAAUCGGAAUUACUGGGCGUAAAGCGCACGCAGGCGGUCUGUCAAGUCGGAUGUGAAAUCCCCGGGCUCAACCUGGGAACUGCAUUCGAAACUGGCAGGCUAGAGUCUUGUAGAGGGGGGUAGAAUUCCAGGUGUAGCGGUGAAAUGCGUAGAGAUCUGGAGGAAUACCGGUGGCGAAGGCGGCCCCCUGGACAAAGACUGACGCUCAGGUGCGAAAGCGUGGGGGAGCAAACAGGAUUAGAUACCCCUGGUAGUCCACGCCGUAAACGAUGUCGACUUGGAGGUUGUGCCCUUGAGGCGUGGCUUCCGGAGCUAACGCGUUAAGUCGACCGCCUGGGGAGUACGGCCGCAAGGUUAAAACUCAAAUGAAUUGACGGGGGCCCGCACAAGCGGUGGAGCAUGUGGUUUAAUUCGAUGCAACGCGAAGAACCUUACCUACUCUUGACAUCCAGAGAACUUUCCAGAGAUGGAUUGGUGCCUUCGGGAACUCUGAGACAGGUGCUGCAUGGCUGUCGUCAGCUCGUGUUGUGAAAUGUUGGGUUAAGUCCCGCAACGAGCGCAACCCUUAUCCUUUGUUGCCAGCGGUUAGGCCGGGAACUCAAAGGAGACUGCCAGUGAUAAACUGGAGGAAGGUGGGGAUGACGUCAAGUCAUCAUGGCCCUUACGAGUAGGGCUACACACGUGCUACAAUGGCGCAUACAAAGAGAAGCGACCUCGCGAGAGCAAGCGGACCUCAUAAAGUGCGUCGUAGUCCGGAUUGGAGUCUGCAACUCGACUCCAUGAAGUCGGAAUCGCUAGUAAUCGUGGAUCAGAAUGCCACGGUGAAUACGUUCCCGGGCCUUGUACUCACCGC